rnacentral:rRNA from 1 species
UACAGAGACUGCAAGCGUUAUUCGGAUUCACUGGGCGUAAAGGGUGCGCAGGCGGUUGGGUGUGUCAGAUGUGAAAUCCCUCGGCUCAACCGGGGAACGACGCAUGAAACUGGCAAGCUAGAGUACCAAAGAGGGGGGUGGAAUUCCUGGUGUAGCGGUGAAAUGCGCAGAUAUCAGGAGGAACACCUAGUGCGAAGGCAGCUCGCUGGGACGUAACUGACGCUGAGACGCGAAAGCGUGGGGAGCAAACAGG